ACCUAGUAGCCAGAGGACAAGCUGUCACAGUACUCACCAAGGAAGACGGCCCAGCCCCAAGGCUUCCAGUGCCGUCUAAAAGACCUAGCCUAAGGUUGAGGAGGUCUUGGGAAGGCCUGUUGUUCCCCGCCAACUUCAUCAUUUCGGUUAGAUUUCCAGCCCACUAAAACUCCCCGUGUGGCCUAUUUUCCAGGUGUCCUCAGACAAGACUCACACUGACUACAGUCUCGGGCCCGAAAGCACAGGCUGGAUGGACCUCUGCACCUCUGGCUCUGUUAAAUAGGGCCAUCCCAGGAAGAGCAGCUCUGCAAGGAAGAGGUUGAUGCACAGGUUCUUGUGGAUGGUGUUGCGGUCGGUCUGCAGGCCCCGCAGGAAGCAGAAGGUGGAGAUGCAGAUAGCCAGACAGACCAGGGAGAUGACAAUGCCAACCCAGGUGAUGACUGACAGCAACAGCUCAUUAAUACGGCCUUGGUACUGGGGGACAGGAGAAGGGGGUGCACUCAGGGCUUGGCCUGGUGCCAGCUGAAGACAAGGACCCAGGUAAGGCUGUGGGCCUCAAGGCCCUCCAGUGCUGCCCAAUCGGCCACCAAGCUGGCCCCCACCCCUGUGCAGGCAGUGCGGGCUCACUUCCUCAUGCUCUGGAAGGCUUGUGAUACCAACUUGCUUUUCCUGAGUGCCUCAGGCCAGAGGGAGCCAGAUGCAAGGCCUCAUGCCCCAGGUAAGACUGGUGGCCCCCCAUGCCCAUGAGCUGGCCUUGUAGGCAUCGCCCAUGCUGUGUGCUCUCUAGGAUGCCAUGCAAAGCCAGGCCAGCAGCAAGCAGGCCUGCCCGGAACAGCACCACACUGGCCAGCUUACGAUCUCUCGGUGAGCCAUGAGCACUGCGAAGUUGGUGAGGUGGCUGCAGGCACAUGUGGUAUGGGUCUUAUUGGACUCCACCAGUCGGCAGCCCUGGGUUGACCAGUAGCCCAGCAUGGAGCGCUCUGAGUAGUUCCAGAAGGAGCAGUUUGCAUUGAAGUGGUUCUUGGCCUGUUAUAUAGGGGUGGACAGAGGGUUGAAAUUGAGAGUUCUGUUCUUACCCUCACACCAGCUUCAGGGAAAGAAGCAUUUGGGGACACCGAGGUGACCACCAGCUCUAUGGUCCAAGCUGAAGUAAGGGAGCUGAAACUUACUCUCAGGUGGGUGAAUGCAUGGUGGGGGAUAUGUAGUCUAGGAACAGAGGAUGCUGGGACUUCAGGGAGUUUCAGGGGUACACCUGGGCUCACCUCCAAGUGGGCCACAGUAAAGAUGACAGGGUCCAUGAGGAAGACACGGCUGGACUCCUUAUUGAUGGAUGCUGCGAUGACCUGUGAGUUAACCACCAGGGAGGCACCUCCAGGGCCACCGGUCCCUGCCUCACCUGCCAGCUUCACUGUGGCAUUCUCCGUGGACAAGAAGAGGCCCAGGUUGUUGUAGAGAAUGAAGACAACCUUCACCACACCUGAGGAAGAUGGGCACAGGGAGAUAUGGCGGCCAUCCUUAGCCACAGCACUCUGUCUGGGUUCCAUGGCUCCCAUGAUACAAUGAAACUGGGCUAUCACAUGUCAAGCAGUUCAGGAGCCAUUUCCACAAGGCCAUUAUCCCUUGGUGGGCGGUUUAAAUGACAGCACAGUGGCUGGCUCUCUGACCUACUUUUACUUUCUUUUCUUUUUAAUUUUUAAAGAUUUAUUUAUAUAAGUACACUACAGCUGUCUUCAGAUGCACCAAAAGAGGGGAUCAGAUCCCAUUACAGAUGGUUGUCAUGUGGUUGCUGGGAUUUGAACUCAGGGGCUCUGGAAGAGCAGUCAGUGCUCUUAACCUCUGAGCCAUCUCUCCAGCCCCACUAUUACUUUUUGCAUGCCCUUGGGCAGAUGCCUAGCCUCUCUGUGCCUCCAUCUCAAAUGGAGCCAGAACCCAGGCCUCUGCAGAGCAUUGGAAUAAUAGCCACACUAGUGACAGAUAAACCAUGAUUAAAACCCAUGACUAUGGGUUUCACAUAGAGCCAAGAUCUAGGUACAAAGUGGGCAACAUGCAUGCACAGACAAAGGCCUGCGGACACUGACCAUUGCGGCUGUUCUGCUUGAUGGUGUUGGCGGACAGCUGAAUGGAGCUCUCACUGGCAUACUCCUGGGGGAACACCAACUCCUGCACUUGACCCUCUGUGCUCAGGACAGUGACCUCCAGGACUGUGUGGGCAGGGGUGACAUGCUAUCAGUGUCUAUCCCCAGACAGGGUUCAUGCUAAAACACAAGGCCUGCAGGAAAACCACAGACCCAGGAACUGGGGAACCAACAACCCCCAAGAUUGAGACUGAUCCUGGAGUAGCUGCAGUACUCACCCACAUUCUGCUUGGCAGCCAAGAAGCGAGCAGGUUCUCUGACAUUGUCGGCCAGCAGGAAGGCACCCUCCUCUAAGACAUCUAGGAGCAUGGUGGCCGUAUGGACCUGUUCGGUGGCAUUCAUGUCUUUCCAUGACUCAAGUGCCUCUGGCCGAAGCAGGUUGUCCACUGUCUCCACCACAGCCUGUGGGUAGCAGGGACAACAGAAUGAGUCUCCCACAUCCUCCAGUUCCUUGGGACAGUCUUGAUGUCUCCUCCUCUCCCUUCCAUUCCCAAAGUCCCCAGGAAGCCAAGGCCCCUCAUUCCCAAGAGCUGGGCCUUCCUGGGCUCACCUUGAUAUAGUCCUUGCAGGUUCUCUCUCGCUUGUGCAUCUACAGAGAGAAAUGGAGGGAGUGACAGGGGGAGACUGAAGACAAUGCGCUCCCUAGCUCUUGUGCUUAGACACUGAUCACUCUUCCAGUGACCUUCUUUAGGAACCCUACCUGGGGUACCACAUCCCUCACUGGUCAUUGUGGGGUGGCAGCACAGGCCAGACCCUUCAUACAGGCCCACCUUAUUGUAGUUCUUGCCAGCUGACUCUCGUUCAAUGGGCCGUAGGGCCUGGAGCUGGGCAUCCAGGAUAUCUAGCAGUUGCUCCAUCAGCUUCACCGAUGAGGACACGUCCCCAGCAUAGAUGGAGCCCCGCGUGUGGCGGGCCAGCUCACUAGCAAUGUUGGCUGCAUUCUCUCCACUCUUGAUCUGCAUGAGGUGGGGAGGAGGGUGACCUCAGGUCUGAGGGGAACUGGCCUACACAGCUGUACAUUCCCUCUUCACAUGCCCCGCCUGCAGAGGCCAUCUUCUCCGUCAGCCUUUCCCACACAAGGUUUACAGAGAACCCUUGCCCUGGCUUUUAGCCCUAUGUGUCUCCCCAACUUUUCCCAUCGCUCCUGCUACCCUGGGUUCUGGCUGGCCUGCCUGCAAGGGGCAGCAGUUACUGGUACCUUCUGGGCGACUUGGUUGACCCAGGGGGAAGUGCAGUUGCUGAGGUCAGGGCCCCGAGGAUUCCAGAGCCCCAGAGCUGGGAGGCACUGGAACGAGGCAAUUCCUGUUGAGAUAGACAAACAAGCCAGAGAGAAGGAGAUGAAGAGACCAAGGACAGAGGGAGGAAAGAGCAGAGGGCGAGCAGGAGAGGGACACUUGGGGAAAGGUACAAGGCCACCCUAGGCCUCCCAGAGUUAUCCUCCCCCCUGACCCCUGCAAGACCCGCUCUGGAAGGCUUUCUUCACUAAGCCUCUCCCAACCUUGUCUGGAACCCCUAGAACCUGAGUUGUUUAUCUGUCCCAUAUCUGUCUUGAAACUGGCUAUGCUUACUCUGAGGCCAGGGGCUGAACACCUGCAGUCCCCCAGGUACAGGGCUGCAGAGCCCAGCUGUCCGUCCCCUAGCUCCUCCAGCUCAGCUGUGCUGCAGCACUCACCUCGAGUUCCCUUGGGGCAAGGUCUCUCUACCAGCAUACCCUGCUGGGUAGCUGGCCACUGGACCCGCCGGACCUCUCGGGGUUCACAGAAGAGCUCAGGGGACACAUGCAGAUUGGGGGCUGGAGGCCGCCGGGUACUGGGUGCUGGGGCUGUGGCUGGAGGCAGGUCAGGUCCCAGCUGGUUGAUGGCACCUACUGGGUGCGUGGUGAGGGGCGCCCGGCGGAGUGGAGUGGUGGCUGCAGGUGAGGCUGUGCUGGUGAGGGGCGUAGGCCGAGCUGUGGUGGUGGUACUGAGAGGUGGGGAAGUGGCUGGGCCUGGAAGGAAGAGGGGACACAGGGUAUGGUCACACCCAUACUUAAGGCACACCAAUGUGCCCAAACACAGGGUCCCUUGGCACCUUGACAUCUACCUUACCCAUUGAAGUACUCUGGGCCCCCUGGUCUUUUUGUGCUCAGAAGUCCCCUGUAUAUAUAUGGAUAUAUAUACACUCAGAAGAGAGUAAAAAUAUACUAUGUGCUCUGUGAGGCUCUCCCAGAGCUGGUACUGGAGACGUGUGUCAAAGCUGCUGGAUGCAAUCACCUCUCAUCUAUGACGCAGCUGACCAUGGUCUGGUGCCUGCCUACCUACACCUUCCCUCAGGGGUAUCAUAAGGCUCUCUGCAGCUCUGGGGUGGCUCUGGUUAGCUGACGGGAAGCUGGAGGCAAAAUGAGAACAAGUAAUUGUUUGCUUUUGAGUCUACAUAUCCAACAAUCUUACACUGAUGUGCCCAGGCAGCACAGAUCCUAGAUCCUGGUUAGAGCCAGAACCCUGGGGGGUUCCAUUCUGAAGUAAACAAUGCCUCAGUCACUUAGUGUAUGAACUUCAUCUAGGAAUCAGCACAGUGAACCCCAAGCCUUGAAGACAGAAGGCACACUGAGGUGUGGAAGGGUGGAUGUUUGCCACACACUGUGAUUUUCUUUACCUCCUAAUCCCCCAGAGUACCGGUGUAUUAUGUGCAAACAGGCCAGCACCCCUCAAAACCCAUCCUCACCAGCACUGGGAUCUGGGGGUCCAAACUCCAGGCUGUAGCGCACCACGAAAUAGUUGUUCCACACAUACAGCUGGUUGUCCCGGGGAUUGUAGUCAACAGAAGAUACAAACUGGUAGGGGUUGGGGAAGGCGAGACUGACGGGCUCCUCUCGGUUUGCAUUGGUGUUAAAGGCAUAGUCCACGCGGUUGC